UUGGGAAUCUUGGACAAUGGGGGAAACCCUGAUCCAGCCAUGCCGCGUGAGUGAUGAAGGCCUUCGGGUUGUAAAACUCUUUCGACGGGGACGAUAAUGACGGUACCCGUAGAAGAAGCUCCGGCUAACUUCGUGCCAGCAGCCGCUGUAAUACGAAGGGGGCUAGCGUUGUUCGGAAUUACUGGGCGUAAAGCGCGCGCAGGCGGUUUUCCAAGUCAGUGGUGAAAGCCCGGAGCUCAACUCCGGAACUGCCAUUGAAACUGUUGAACUUGAGGACGAGAGAGGUGAGUGGAAUUCCCAGUGUAGAGGUGAAAUUCGUAGAUAUUGGGAAGAACACCAGUGGCGAAGGCGGCUCACUGGCUCGUUUCUGACGCUCAGGCGCGAUAGCGUGGGGAUCAAACA
rnacentral:rRNA from 1 species